rnacentral:rRNA from 1 species
AGUGUGAUAAGGGAACCCAAAAUGCUUUACUUAGUAAAGCUUUUGCCAAGAGUAAAUAUCUUGGAGAAUAAGUGGUGGGCAAGACUGGUGCCAGCCGCCGCGGUAAUACCAGCGCCACGAGUGGGAACUAUAAUUAUUGGGCCUAAAGCGUCCGUAGCCGGUUUAAUAAAUUUCUUGUGAAAUUGUUGAGCUUAACUUAACAAAGUGCAGGAAAGACUGUUAGACUAGGGACUGGGAGGGGUUAGAAGUAUGUUUAGGGUAGCGGUAAAAUGUUAUAAUCCUAAACAGACUACCAAUGGCGAAGGCAUCUAACCAGAACAGGUCCGACGGUGAGGGACGAAAGCCAGGGGAGCAAACCGGAUUAGAUACCCGAGUAGUCCUGGCCGUAAACGCUGCGAGCAAGAUGUUGCAUAUUCUUCGUGAAUAUGCAGUAUCGAAGAGAAGUCGUUAAGCUCGCCGCCUGGGAAGUAUGGUC